rnacentral:rRNA from 1 species
CACGUAGGGACCAAGCGUUGUCCGGAUUUAUUGGGCGUAAAGAGCUCGUAGGCGGUCGUGUAAGUCGGGUGUGAAAUCUCCGGGCUCAACUCGGAGGGCCACCCGAUACUGCUCGACUCGAGUCCGGGUAGGGGAGUGGGGAAUUCCUGGUGGUAGCGGUGAAAUGACGCAGAUAUCAGGAGGAACACCGGUGGCGAAGGCGCCACCUCUGGGCCGGUACUGACGCUGGAGGAGCGGAAGCGUGGGUAGCAAACAGG